GACGAACGCUGGCGGCGUGCUUAACACAUGCAAGUCGAACGGAAAGGCCCUGCUUUUGUGGGGUGCUCGAGUGGCGAACGGGUGAGUAACACGUGAGUAACCUGCCCUUGACUUUGGGAUAACUUCAGGAAACUGGGGCUAAUACCGGAUAGGAGCUCCUGCUGCAUGGUGGGGGUUGGAAAGUUUCGGCGGUUGGGGAUGGACUCGCGGCUUAUCAGCUUGUUGGUGGGGUAGUGGCUUACCAAGGCUUUGACGGGUAGCCAGCCUGAGAGGGUGACCGGCCACAUUGGGACUGAGAUACGGCCCAGACUCCUACGGGAGGCAGCAGUGGGGAAUAUUGCACAAUGGGCGGGAGCCUGAUGCAGCAACGCCGCGUGCGGGAUGACGGCCUUCGGGUUGUAAACCGCUUUCGCCUGUGACGAAGCGUGAGUGACGGUAAUGGGUAAAGAAGCACCGGCUAACUACGUG
rnacentral:rRNA from 1 species